AGAAUUAGUGCUGUGUUCUGUGCGAGGCUUAUUACCACCGAGGCUCUCUCUCUGCUCGCUGGAACGGCAGCUAGAAAACUGGGAGGAGAGCUUCCUGGCAGCAUUAGCAAACUAGCAGCCCCUGAAGGGCGACGAGAAAGAUAUGUAGAUGUGAUGUCUGGAACUCAUGCAGCUAUCUUGCAACGACCAGGAUGAGGCUAAGAGAAUAGGAGAGAUCCUUGCUCAAACAGGCUGAACUCGAGUAUUUUGGGCCCUAAGAAGGAAGGACAAAGAUCCCUGGAGAACUCUCCUGUGGUGUCCUUGUUUUGAGUAGCAAUGGAGGGCAUGUCAUUGGUGGUACACUUUACAGUUAUCAAAUACUGAGGCUAGAUCAUGAAGGAACUAGAGGAUGAAUGGACAUUACCCCUGGAUGCUGGUCUUGAACACAGAUGCCGUAACCAUAAUCCUUCAGGUUGUCCAACUUCUGGAAUGGCUGUUUUCAUCUUGGCCCCAGGAGCUUGUCCUCAUUUUCUGAGGCGACAGAAGAGGAACUGAGAACCCAAAUUCUUUGUGCAAUGCAGGCUCUCUGGGUGUCAAAUACCCAUAAAACCAUUGCAUCCCGGCCUCAAGGUGGUGGUAUUUGCCUCCCACUCUCAAAGGAACAUCUGGAAGCCUGAAUGGAGAAGGAGGGCUGAUCAGCCAUCAGCUCAGCUGGGGCAGUGUUCCCUGACCUGUCAGCUCUUCCCCUUCAGACCUCAGAGGAUAGAGAGGGUCAGCUGGCAACCUCCACUGAGCCUGUGAACCAGUCCCAGGAGCUUCUCCAGCAGGUGUUUGUCCUUAGGCGGAGAUGUUUCCUGGAUGCCUCACUCCUUUGCCUCUCAAGGAUAAAUGCCCCGAUGACAGAAACCCCCAGCCCCUGCCCAGUGACAGGAAGUGCUGACUUCAACACUGGGUCCUGCCAUUUACCAGAGAGCCCUUGAAGAAAAAAUCAAGAGGAGAAAGGCCCAAAAGAAAGAAAACACGGUGGGCCAGAAAAAUUUCAUCAGGCAGAUUGCUUCAAGAUGAAGACCAACCAGAGAAAAUAUUCCCAGGAGUUAAAAUACGCAGCACGUUUUAGAUACCAAUGACGGCGAUUUGCUUUCUCUUCAUUUCUGUCUUCACAUUGCUGACAACUCCCCUCAUUGUCUUAAAUAUGGAUUGCCAAAGUCAAUUAAAUACGCAAGAGGAACAUUGUACAUUUUGGAGGAAAGUAAUUAUUGUUACACCUUAGAGCAGCUUAAUGAAUACAUUAAUAAACGAUCCUUCGCCAUGUUUUUCUUUUCAUAGCCAUCAAAAUCUUUAUAAAACCUACAGCACAAUACAUAACAUCUCGUUACAAGAUUUGCUUUUAAAAAAAUCAAUGCAUACCUAA
rnacentral:lncRNA from 1 species